CGAGCGGCGGACGGGUGAGUAAUGCCUGGGAAUAUGCCUUGAUGUGGGGGAUAACCAUUGGAAACGAUGGCUAAUACCGCAUAAUGCCUACGGGCCAAAGAGGGGGAUCUUCGGACCUCUCGCGUCAAGAUUAGCCCAGGUGGGAUUAGCUAGUUGGUGAGGUAAUGGCUCACCAAGGCGACGAUCCCUAGCUGGUCUGAGAGGAUGAUCAGCCACACUGGAACUGAGACACGGUCCAGACUCCUACGGGAGGCAGCAGUGGGGAAUAUUGCACAAUGGGCGCAAGCCUGAUGCAGCCAUGCCGCGUGUGUGAAGAAGGCCUUCGGGUUGUAAAGCACUUUCAGUCGUGAGGAAGGUGGUAGUGUUAAUAGCACUAUCAUUUGACGUUAGCGACAGAAGAAGCACCGGCUAACUCCGUGCCAGCAGCCGCGGUAAUACGGAGGGUGCGAGCGUUAAUCGGAAUUACUGGGCGUAAAGCGCAUGCAGGUGGUUUGUUAAGUCAGAUGUGAAAGCCCGGGGCUCAACCUCGGAAUUGCAUUUGAAACUGGCAGACUAGAGUACUGUAGAGGGGGGUAGAAUUUCAGGUGUAGCGGUGAAAUGCGUAGAGAUCUGAAGGAAUACCGGUGGCGAAGGCGGCCCCCUGGACAGAUACUGACACUCAGAUGCGAAAGCGUGGGGAGCAAACAGGAUUAGAUACCCUGGUAGUCCACGCCGUAAACGAUGUCUACUUGGAGGUUGUGGCCUUGAGCCGUGGCUUUCGGAGCUAACGCGUUAAGUAGACCGCCUGGGGAGUACGGUCGCAAGAUUAAAACUCAAAUGAAUUGACGGGGGCCCGCACAAGCGGUGGAGCAUGUGGUUUAAUUCGAUGCAACGCGAAGAACCUUACCUACUCUUGACAUCCAGAGAAGCCAGCGGAGACGCAGGUGUGCCUUCGGGAACUCUGAGACAGGUGCUGCAUGGCUGUCGUCAGCUCGUGUUGUGAAAUGUUGGGUUAAGUCCCGCAACGAGCGCAACCCUUAUCCUUGUUUGCCAGCGAGUAAUGUCGGGAACUCCAGGGAGACUGCCGGUGAUAAACCGGAGGAAGGUGGGGACGACGUCAAGUCAUCAUGGCCCUUACGAGUAGGGCUACACACGUGCUACAAUGGCGCAUACAGAGGGCUGCCAACCAGCGAUGGUGAGCGAAUCCCAAAAAGUGCGUCGUAGUCCGGAUUGGAGUCUGCAACUCGACUCCAUG
rnacentral:rRNA from 1 species